rnacentral:rRNA from 1 species
UACGGAGGAUGCGAGCGUUAUCCGGAUUUACUGGGUGUAAAGGGAGCGCAGACGGAACUGCAAGUCUGAUGUGAAAGCCCGGGGCUCAACCGCGGGACUGCAUUGGAAACUGUAGAUCUGGAGUGCCGGAGGGGCAAGCGGAAUUCCUGGUGUAGCGGUGAAAUGCGUAGAUAUCAGGAGGAACACCGGCGGCGAAGGCGGCUUGCUGGACGGCAACUGACGUUGAGGCUCGAAAGCGUGGGGAGCAAACAGGAUUAGAUACCCCGGUA